AUUGAACGCUGGCGGCAGGCUUAACACAUGCAAGUCGAGCGGAGAUGAGGUGCUUGCACCUUAUCUUAGCGGCGGACGGGUGAGUAAUGCUUAGGAAUCUGCCUAUUAGUUGGGGACAACAUUCCGAAAGGAAUGCUAAUACCGCAUACGUCCUACGGGAGAAAGCAGGGGAGCUUCGGACCUUGCGCUAAUAGAUGAGCCUAGGUCGGAUUAGCUAGUUGGUGGGGUAAAGGCCUACCAAGGCGACGAUCUGUAGCGGGUCUGAGAGGAUGAUCCGCCACACUGGGACUGAGACACGGCCCAGACUCCUACGGGAGGCAGCAGUGGGGGAUAUUGGACAAUGGGGGGAACCCUGAUCCAGCCAUGCCGCGUGUGUGAAGAAGGCCUUAUGGUUGUAAAGCACUUUAAGCGAGGAGGAGGCUACUGAGACUAAUACUCUUGGAUAGUGGACGUUACUCGCAGAAUAAGCACCGGCUAACUCUGUGCCAGCCGCCGCAGUAACAC
rnacentral:rRNA from 1 species